AUAAUCUCCAUAAUAUAUCUAAUAAUUUUACACUUUCUUUCUACAACUUAAUUCCAUGUACAAAAACAACCUUAAUGUACACAAAUACUGGUUUGAGCUUGUCACAAUUAGAUUAAAAAUGGUGAGAAAAAUCUGAAAAAAUAGGCUGCUCAAUCUUCUUUAAAUUCUUCCUUCUCUGCAAUAAAUUCACUUAACUUUUAGCUUCAAUUUUCUCUCAAUCAGUUUCUAUGGCAGCAUGUUCACUAAUAUUAAGCUGCCUUCAUUUCAACACAUUGCUUACAUCAGGUUGCUCAGCAAUGGCAAUUUUGAAGCAGGAAAUUAGGGUUCUACAAAUUUUAAUAUCUUCUAGAGAAUAUUGACCCUUGGUCUAUUAUAUAGACAGUUUUGAAUCUAAUUUUUCAAAGAACCAAACCUUACAGCGACUCCAAGGCUGGACCAUAAAUUCCACAGUCUCGCUCGUGCAUCAAAUAAGUCAUGUCCCCAAUCCUUUUUCAUUGGUCAUGAGUACUACACUACAACUAGCAAGAAAGCACGUCAGUUUCAAGAAAAUUUCAAGAUGAAAAGUGGAAAUCUUCAAGGUGUUAAAACAUAUUUAUGAAUUUGAGAAUAAGGAAGUAAAACUAUUAUAGAGUACUAGUACUCAAACUAGAUAUCUUGAACCAGAUGAGAUAUUUGGUGAAAACAUAACCAAAAUUCUGAUGCUAUGGUUGAAUAGAAUUGGCAGUACUACAUUAAGUCAUGUCAUAGAAAGAGAAUUGAUAGAUUGUCUUUGAAUGUAAACUAAAU
rnacentral:lncRNA from 1 species